rnacentral:lncRNA from 1 species
GUUCAACAAAGUAAUGUUUACAAAUAAGUCAACAUGACUGAAAUGGUCAAUUGACCCCCUAAGGAUUUAUUGCCCUUUAUAGUCAAUUUUUAACAAUUUUCAUAAAAUUUGUAAAUUUUCACUAACAUUUUCCACUGAAACUACUGGGCCAAGUUUAUUAUAGAUAGAGAUAAUUGUAAGCAGCAAGAAUGUUUAGUAAAGUAAGAUCUACAAACACAUCACCAUCACCAUAACACAAUUUUGUCAUGAAUCCAUCUUUUGCUAUGUUUAAUAUUCACAGACACCAAGGUGAGCGACACAGGCUCUUUAGAGCCUCUAGUUAUAUCGUAUUGUUCCUUUCGGUUGCACCUCUUGGAAACUAGAGUCGUGUCUGUAUAUUUGUUAAAAU